UCAUGGAAUUCACUGGUCUUACCACGUUGCUCACCAUCCUAAAGCCUCUGGCUUGAUAGAACAUUGGAAUUGCCUUUUGAAGACUUAAUUACAGUGCCAGCUGGGUGACAAUACCUUGCAGGGCUGGAGCAAGGUUCCUCAGAAGGCUGUAUAUGCUCUCCAUCAGCAUCCAAUACAUGGUGCUGUUUCUCACAGAGCCAGGAUUCAUGGGUUCAGGAAUCAAGGGGUGGAAAUGGGAGUGGCACUACUUACUAUUACCCUGAGUGAUCCACUAUCAAAAUUUUUGCUUGUUGUUCCCACAACCUUAGGCUCUGUUGGCCUAGAGAUGUUAGUUCCAAAGAGAGGAACACUCCAUCAGGAGACACAACAAUGAUUUAAUCGAACUAGAAAGUGCCGCCUGGCCAAUUUGGACUCCUCACGCCUCUGAAUCAACAGGCAAAGAAGCGGGUUACUGUUUUGGUUGGGGUGAUUGAUCUGGACUGUGAAGGGGAAAUUGGACUACUACUCUACAAUGGAAGUAAGGAAGAAUAUGUCCAGAAUACAGAAGAUCCCCUAGGGGAUCUCUUAGUAUUACCAUGUCCUGUGGUUAAGGUUAACGGAAAACUACAACAACCCAAUCCAGGCAAAACUACUAAUGGCCCAGACCUUUCAGGAAUGAAGGUUUGGCUCACCCACCCCACCCUAGCUAAGAAAAUAUGAUCAGCUGAGGUACUUGCUGAAGGUAAAGGGAGUACAGAAUGGGUAGUAGAAGAAGGAAGUUACAAAUAACAGCCAUGACCACAUGGUCCGUUACAGAAACAAUGACUGUCAUUAUCAUGAGUAUUUCCUCCUUAUUUUGUUAUGAAUGCAUUUGUGUUUGUGUACGUGUGUAUCUUUGUUCUCUUUCCUCUUAUGUAAAAUAAGAUAUAUUGACUUUGUAUCAGUAUUUGAGUAUUGUUAAUUUUACGUCAUAGUGUUUAAGUUAUGGGAGAUCAAAAGUAAACAUCAUUUACUCUUUUAAGAGACUUUACCUCCUCUUCUAGGGAAGGGGUAAGUUUGGUUUUGGUUUUAUGCAAGAUAAUUAUAUCAUAUUAGGCAGAAUUAUGAUCUAGUUAUUGUCUUUAUUUGGACAUUAAAUAUGUUUUAAGGAGAUGCGUGUCGGUGCCAACCUGACAAGAGUGGACUUGUGAUGGUUAUUUUUUUAUGUCAACGUGACUGGAUUACACAGUGCCCAGAUAUUUGGUGUAAACAUUAUUUCUGGGUGUGUCUGUGAGGUGUUUCUGAACAAAAUUAGCAUUUGAACCAGUGGGCUCAGUAAAGCAGUUUGCCUUCCCCAGUGUGGGUGAGCAUCAUCCAAUCAUUCAGGGCCUGAACAGAACAAAAAGGUAGAGAAAGGAAGAAUUUGACUCUUCUUGCCCAAUUGCUUGAGCUGGGACAUUGAUCUUCUCCCACCCUCAGCACUCCUUGUUCUCAGACCUUGAAACCUGGAUUGGAAUCUACAUCAUUGGUUCGCCUGGUUCUGAGGCUUUUGGACUCAGACUGAAUUAUAUCACUGGCUUCCCUGGGUCUCCAGCUCACAGAAAGCAGAUUAUGGGACUUCUCAGCCUCCAUAAUUGCAUAAGCAAUUCCUUAUAAUAAAUCUUUUCCUAUAUGUAUAUCCUAUUGGUCUGUUUCUCUAGAGAACCCUAAUAAUACCUGUUAGCUGGCUCUCUUCAUGACCCCAAGAUGGCUGUUCCCCUCAUGAGCCUAAGACAGCUGCCACAGUCCUACAAGUUAAGUAUAGGCAACAUCCCCAGGAUAGUUCCUCAGGAGAAUUUCUUUUUAUCAAUGAGGAAAAUAUUUCCCAGAAGCCUCCAGCAAAUUUCCCCUUAUCUCACUGGCCAGAAUUAUAUUAUGUGCCCAUGCUUAAAUUAAUCACAGGCAAGAGGGAUAGAACCACCAUGAUUGGCUUAGGCCAAUUAGAAUUCACUCCCAUAGUGGCCAUCCUCUGUAGGACGAGGCUGAUAGUAGUAGAUGUUAUACAGAAGUGGACUCAUUGAUAGCAACAGGGAUGGUAGGAUCUUGAAAAGAGGCCAGGUAGCCAAGUUGCUUCUUAACCAUCAGAAGCAAUUUGGUCACAAUUGCCGUAAUUCAUGAGGUAGUUAAUAGAACACAGAAUUUCUGCCAAUAAUGGUAAUAAUGUUCAAUCUAAACAAACAAAAGAAAGUAAGGUGGGUGAUCAAGAGACUAGGGACAACCCAAUAAAAAGUCAUGAUCCCAAGCCCAAUUUCUAGAUUUGAGCCAGUGUUCUGACCUGGAACCUUUUGACUGAAACAGAGGUAAGGUCCCUAGGAAGGAGGAUCCUAUAACAUCAUGUAUGUUCUUUGGACCUGAGGAGCAAGAAGUAGCAAGUGUGUUGGAGGCCUUAGUAAUAUACGUGCCUUUCAGAUGGGAGGAAAAAAACACUACAAAGAUUCAGUGGCUCACAGCAUUCUUGGUUGCCUACUUCUACAAGAGGACACAGAUAACUCUGAAGGACUAUUGCAGCUGCACAGCCACUCAUAGAGCUAGUGAGGAGUUUCUUACAACUGCAUCAAGAUUCCAGGUGUUGUCUCAUGAAUUCAGAGCUCUCUGUUGUGCUUGUGAUGCUGUGCAGAGGAGUCCCCAUGACAUGACCAGCUGCCACUCUCAGGCCUGUGGGUCCCAGAUCUCAAGCCCCAAGCUCUCAGUCCCUCCCUUGAGUAAGGUGUCAGUGCCAGAUGUAGGAAAUGCUUGAUGGGAAUGUGGCUGAAACUGUCUGCACUAUGAUGGAGGGACAGAUUGUCAUCAACUGCUGCAGCAGGGUCUCCUUUGACUCCUUCAAUAAUCCGCAUGUGCUGCAUCCUUCUCCAAGAUACCAUCCCUGAGGAGCCGCAUUCCACCCUGAUCAUUCACGAGGACUUGUCAGCAUGCACUUGUACAGAUAUUAGACUGUAACUGCCAGUUUUCAAUAGAAUUGAUACAGUUUUAGACUGAGAAUAUUAUUUGUAAGUUCACAUUCUGUCAUUUACUGGUGAUCCUAGCUAAGUCCCUCAACUACUCCAAACUUCACUGUCCUCAUUUGUAAAAUGCAGAUAGUGAAGCCUACACAAUGUGUUUGUAGAGAAAAUUAAUGAGGGAAAGUAACGGGAAAUGACUUCUACUUUUUCAAGUUGUGUGAAUGUUAGUUAUCAUUAUUGUUGUUUCUCCCCCAUGAGAUCUCUGAGGCCACAUCUUUUACUUCCUUUCUAACUCUCCCCUGGGUCACGCACGAUGCCAGCAAUGCUGUAGGCUAAUAGUAGUUGCAGAGUUAAGAAUGAAUAAAAGAAAACCACUUACCCAAUGAGUUAAGGCAAAACCGCAACCAUAUUAAAUCUAUUAUAGACAUUUGUUCCACAGAGUGAAUUGAGAACCUUCUCAAAGGGAAGAAAAUUUAUUUGCAGCCCACUCUUGCAAAUCUAUGCUGAGAGGAAGAGAAAUAGCAUCAAGUCACCCUGAUUUCUCAUUCUAACAUGGGACAAACAUUGCUAACAAGGGACAAAUUAGCCUCUGGAACCCUUGUUAGCUUUCCCCAUAAAGGUUGCUACCUUUAAAUAACCACCUUUUUUAAACACCCCUUGAAGAGAUCAUUUUAUCUCCAUGCUAAGAUCAGUUCCUCUUCAACAUCUGAUGCAACCCCUAGUGUUUUCCAUUGCUUUCUAGCUGUGUCAGAUUUCCCUAGAAGACAGAAAUGAAAGUGAUGACUAAGAAUAUUGCACUUAAAAUUCAAAUUUUUGACCUACACUUUGAUUCCCCCACCCACCCCUCCCAUUCCUGUCUCCUUGCCUUCCAAAGGGGGAAAUUACCAUUUUUACACAGCGUAAAAUCUUCAGCGUGCACCAUUACAUGUAGACUUGCAGUGUUUAAACGGAAAUUUAGUUCAUUUAGUUGGAACUAUACAAAGCAGAACCUACUCAGAGAAUUCAGACUUUUUUGCUAUUUCACUGACAAUCUUCUAAAGAGACAGAAAGGGUUACAUGCCAGGAGUGUACCAGUUACGGUCUAUUUCCCCUCUGUCAUUUAGAAACAAUUAGGCAUUGACCUAUUCCCUCCACAUUGGCCUUUAUUCUAUAUUCCAAUCUUACCCGCAAGUCAAAUUAUUUAAAGCACCAUGUCUGGAAUAGAGAAAGACAUUGGAAAAAAGAAAAAUAGCACGAGGGAGAAAAACAACAACAAUAUGGAGCCUUUCUGCAGGUAAUCUCAACAUACUCUCACAGAACAUUUACCUCACAGAAACAAGAUGAGAUUUCUCAAUUGGGUUUUUUUUUCAAUGACCCAAACUUGAGUAAUAUAGCCAGUAGUUUGAUGGAUAUCUAAGAUAAUUAAAUGGUUAUGGUGACGUGUUAAUGUGGCUCAUUUUCCAGUGCAGUCUGUUCCAGAUGCUCACUAAUAAAUCAAAACCACCUAGAGUUUAGCAAGCAUUUUAGUCCCACUCUCAACUAAAAGGCAGAUUCUCUAGUCUGGUAAGCUAGCAAAAAAUAGAUCACUCAAUGGAUCAAGCUGUCACUGAGGGAUCUUUUGCAAGAAUGAAAGGUAUCUCGGGUAGUUCAGAACAUCCUGCAGGAACUCUACACUUCCUCAAUAUACUUACUGAAAGCCCAGUGCCAGAACUACAAAACUCAUCAAAACCAUCCCUAAACAGAAGUUCAUGGUCUCAGACUGACCUACUAGCAGAUAAUUUUAAUACAAGUCAGGUAAUAACAGAUACACAGGGCCAGGGGCUGAGGGUAGGAGAGGGGUGUAGGGAAGGAAUUGCCUGACCAUGUCUUAAAGGAUAAGGAGGAAUUAGACAGGAAAAGGGAAGAAAAAAGGCCAGUCCAGACAAGGAGAGCACCAUGAACAAAGAAUUAAGACAACAAGAGAAUGCCCCAUGCAGAGAAUCAGCAAACAUUUUUAUCCCAUACAUGUUUUUUAUGUGCAGCUACCAUUUUGUGGGGUCAAGCCUGCCAUUUUGUUCCUCCCUUGUUCUGGAGCCCCCUGGAGAGGGUAGCCUGUGAAGUGCUGUCUCUAACCCCCACUUUGCGGCCACCUCCUUCAAGGUACUACUGCCUCAAUGACCCUUCAACACCACUCCUAGGAAACUCAGAGGUGCCAACACUGUCCAGUGAUCUGAGAUGAGCUAACGAAGGAGGCUGUCCCCCUUACCAUGCCUGCUAUGAUGGAGGGGGUCCCCAAGCAGUGCUCAAUAUCUUUCACAAUAUUCAAAGAAACAGCCCUUUACUGUUUCCUCAGGCUUUACCUCAGCCAACUGGGUUCCCUCCAAACCAAAGGACUCAGAAACGACUCCAUGGGUGGGCUCUGCCAUGAGAGUCAAGGAAAUCACCACUUCUUCCUCAGAAUCUCUCUUUCCCCCCACUAAGCCUAAAAGCUUUGAUGUGGGGCCAAGCUCCUUCUCCCUUAGGCACUUCUCUCUCCCAGAUGCUUCCUCACUCCACCCGCCCUCUGACUUCUGGUCAGCUGCCCUAUCAGUUUGCCAGACAGCCCAGAUGUGUCUCAAUUCUGACAGAGGACACAGCUGAGGCCAGAGCUGGGGUUCCUACUGCAUCAUUUCUUUCUCCUUAAGCACAAAUGAGAACGUAAAUCUCCAAACAUCAUUUUCAACACCAGAAACUAUUAACAGCAGUUGCCUUUGGAGAGGGGAAGAGAGCAGCUAGGGGACAGCGUAGAGGGAGAUAGACUUUUUCACACACUCUUUCAUGGUUGUGAGGUUGUACUGUGCAUAUGGAUUGCCUAUUCAAGAAGAUUUUCUAGAAAAUUACUUUAGAAAGAAAAGUAAUUUUUUGAAACCCAGAAUUUUCAGAAUAUUUUCUAGAAUGCAAUAUCGAGGCCUUACCUUUGUACUCAAAUGGCUUAAUAAUCUUAUAGGUAAAAAUUCAGUAGGUAAAAAAAAAAUUCUGUGAUUAAGAAGACAGAUCUCAGAUACUAAACCUGCUGUGAGACCCUUAAUUGAGUUUCUUUACCCCUCUAUGCCUCAGUUUCCACAUCUGUAAAAUGGGAAUAAUUAUGAUACCUAUCUCAUGUAUUUAUCGUGAGAUUAAAUGAACUAGUGUAUGUGAAGCACUUGGUGUCUGCUACAUAGUAAAUGCUGUGUAAUCGAUUGCUAACAGUCAUUAUCCUUAUCGGUUGCUGCUCAUCUCUGUCACCUUCCACUACAGCAUAUGGUAAGAAGAAAACAUUCCAGGUAAGGAAAGCAUACCUCUGAGAAGGACAGCAUAUAGACUAAAUAUUAAAAGUGAAAUCUGAGUGCUUUCAAAACCCUUGUCACACUUCGCUAUAUGUGUCCUGCCUGCUAGAGAAACACUUCCUUUCACGUGAGCCACCUGUGGUACACAGUAUGUGAUCUGAGUCAGGGACCCAAGUUCAAGCUAUUGUUUCUCCACUAACCUGCCGUGUGACUCUUGGGCAAACCACAAGGUCUCUAGUCUUAAUUUUUUCACAGGAGUGUCAUGGGGCCAAGCAAACUAGCGUAUGUGAAAACGCUCUGUCCCUACCAAAACCCUGCAACUGAGAUGCGUUAUUUUGAAAAUACACACUUGAUGGCCUAUUAAAUAGAACAGCUGAGUUAAACAGAAUGAGUGUCUGAGAACUGGAACCACCCAGAAGUUUCUACACUACCAUGAGAAAAGUUUACUUUUUGGUAAAACUCUCCAGUGGUUAAAUCAACUGUUGAAGGAAUAGCCCCCUCCAAGAAUGCUCUCCCGGUGGGAUUGCUGGUACCCCCUCUGCCACCACCACCCCAGAGUAGAAAAACCCUGAGACUCUGAGGGGUUCCAUUUCUCUUCCAGACAUUUCCUCUGGGGUCCACACUCUGGGUCCUUUCACUUAUCUGGAAGUAACUUGUCCCCUUCAAAUCCAAGGCACCAAAACAUACUGCAGCUUCUUAUAGUUCAACCCAUAACUACUUUUAAUCAGUUCAAAGGAAUCUCAGAGACUCAAGUUCAUGAGUUCUGUGACUUUGAAGUCAGUCAGUUAAUCUCUCUGGCCACAGCUUCCUUACCAGGAAAACUAUAUUUCAGAUUCUAAGAGUCACAAGAGCUUGGCACAAGUGCAAAUUUAGUUUCCACUGUUUCCUAUCUCUGUCCCU